ACUAACAAUUACUUGGAUUCUGAUAGAAGAGUGAAAUGCCUUGCCUCAACAUCUCAACCAACGUGAACCUGGAUGGCGUCGACACCUCCUCCAUCCUCUCCGAAGCCACCUCUACGGUGGCUAAACUCAUCGGAAAACCUGAGGCCUAUGUGAUGAUUGUGUUGAAGGGUUCAGUGCCCAUGUCAUUUGGUGGUUCCGAGCAGCCAGCUGCCUAUGGCGAGCUGGUAUCCAUUGGUGGCUUAAAUCCAGAUGUGAACAAGAAACUGAGUGCUGCAAUUGCUGGAAUUCUCGACACCAAGCUGCAAGUGCCCCCAUCACGGUUCUUCCUCAAAUUCUUUGACACCAAGGCGCAACAAACCCAAGAAUAUGCACAGUGUUUGCAUGCUUUACACCAGCACUAGAUAAUCUAAAUAGAUCUUUUCUCUUUCAUACUGUGAGCAUAGCUCUCGUUAGCUUUCUUGGUUCGAACUUUGGAUGGAAUGGAUCAACCUUCUGAGUGAGGCGAUGUCUGAAUUUCUCGAAACAUUGAUAUUGUCUUUCCACUAUGCUUUAUUUCUACUGUGAAUUACAAGCCUCUACUGUCUAAAUUCGGCAAGACACAUUAUGGCAUUAUGUCUUUUUACCUAUGUGUUUUCCUAGGAUAAUGACAUGCAGACAUUAAUGGA